UGAGGAAUAUUGCACAAUGGGGGCAACCCUGAUGCAGCGACGCCGCGUGGGUGAUGAAGGUUUUCGGAUCGUAAAGCCCUUUUCUGCAUGACGAGCCAAGGACGGUAGUGCAGGAAUAAGUGUCGGCUAACUACGUGCCAGCAGCCGCGGUAAAACGUAGGACACAAGCGUUAUCCGGAAUUACUGGGCGUAAAGGGCGUGCAGGCGGUUGCGUAAGUUAGGCGUGAAAGACUUCGGCUAAACCGGGGGAGGUCGUCUGAUACUGCGCAACUAGAGUAUGGUAGAGGCGUGUAGAAUUCCGGGUGUAGUGGUGAAAUGCGUAGAGAUCCGGAGGAAUACCAGUGGCGAAGGCGGCACGCUGGGCCAUAACUGACGCUAAGACGCGAAAGCAUGGGUAGCGAAACGGGAUU
rnacentral:rRNA from 1 species